CAAAGCACUUUGAAGAGAGAGUUAAAGAGGACGUGAAACCGAUGAGGUGGAAACGGAUAGAGCCGGCGAAUCUGUUUCGUAUUCAGCUAGUUGGCGCUGUCUGCUGGUUUAGUUGAUCCUGCUAAGGUCGGCUGGGCUAUGUAUGGUGGUGUCAAUUGGUGCAUUUGCGGAAGGAGUGCGCUGAGUGGCAUGGUGCAGCGGUUUGAUGUUGGUUAAGAGGCUAUGCUUCGGCGUAGAACCUGACCCUUCGUAAGGCCGAUUGUGCUGUGUUGAAUCGACUAUGGCUUACGUGAUAAGUUGUCGGCUUUGUGGGGUCUUGUGGCGGUCGCAUGCGACACGUGCUUGAUUCUGUCCUGCUGGCGGCGGUUCACUCUUAGUCUAGCUCGGCGUAAAAGCUGGUCAUCUAUCCGACCCGUCUUGAAACACGGACCAAGGAGUUUAGCGUGUACGCGAGUCAUUGAGUGCAAAACUCAUAGGCGUAAUGAAAGUAAAGGCCAUUCUGUGGCUGAUAUGCGACCCUGCGUGUUUCGGCAUGUGGGAGCAGCAUAGCCCAGUCUCUAUUGCUUGCAAUGGGGCUGAGGUAGAGCGUAUUCGCUGAGACCCGAAAGAUGGUGAACUAUGCCUGAGCAGGAUGAAGCCAGUGGAAACUCUGGUGGAAGUCCGAAGCGGUUCUGACGUGCAAAUCGAUCGUCUGACUUGGGUAUAGGGGCGAAAGACUAAUCGAACCAUC
rnacentral:rRNA from 1 species